rnacentral:sRNA from 1 species
UAUUCACGUAUUUUGUUCCACUCGCAAAGGACGCGGGUUCGAAUCCCGCCGGC